rnacentral:rRNA from 1 species
AUUGAACGCUGGCGGCAUGCCUUACACAUGCAAGUCGAACGGUAACAGGUCUUCGGAUGCUGACGAGUGGCGAACGGGUGAGUAAUACAUCGGAACGUGCCCGAUCAUGGGGGAUAACGAAGCGAAAGCUUUGCUAAUACCGCAUACGAUCUACGGAUGAAAGCAGGGGACCGCAAGGCCUUGCGCGAACGGAGCGGCCGAUGGCAGAUUAGGUAGUUGGUGGGAUAAAAGCUUACCAAGCCGACGAUCUGUAGCUGGUCUGAGAGGACGACCAGCCACACUGGGACUGAGACACGGCCCAGACUCCUACGGGAGGCAGGAGUGGGGAAUUUUGGACAAUGGGCGAAAGCCUGAUCCAGCCAUGCCGCGUGCAGGAUGAAGGCCUUCGGGUUGUAAACUGCUUUUGUACGGAACGAAAAGACUCUGGUUAAUACCUGGGGUCCAUGACGGUACCGUAAGAAUAAGCACCGGCUAACUACGUGCCAGCCGCCGCCGUAA